rnacentral:rRNA from 1 species
GAGCGAACGCUGGCGGCAGGCUUAACACAUGCAAGUCGAGCGGCGUAGCAAUACGUCAGCGGCAGACGGGUGAGUAACGCGUGGGAACGUACCUUUUGGUUCGGUAACAACGACAGGGAAACUUCGUGCGUAAUACCGGAUAAGCCCUUUACGGGGAAAGAUUUACUCGCCGAAAGAAUCGGCCCGCGUCUGAUUAGACUAGUUGGUGAGGUAACGGCUCACCAAGGCGACGAUCGAGUA